rnacentral:rRNA from 1 species
ACAGGAUUAGAUACCCUGGUAGUCCCAGCCGUAUACGUUGUGCACUUGCUGUAGGAGGAAUUAUCCCCUUCUGUGCCGGAGUUAACGCGUUAAGUGCACCGCCUGGGGAGUACGUCCGCAAGGCUAUAACUCAAAGGAAUUGACGGGGGCCCGCACAAGCGGUGGAGCAUGUGGCUUAAUUCGAUGCAACGCGAAGAACCUUACCUGGGCUUGACAUGGAGAGGCUUCGGCCUAAACCGGUGAAAGUCGGUUGAACUCACACAGGUGCUGCAUGGCUGUCGUCAGCUCCUGCCGUGAGGUGUUGGGUUAAGUCCCGCAACGAGCGCAACCCCUGUCGUUAGUUGCCACUCCCGCAGAUAUGCGGGAAGCACUCUAGCGAGACUGCCUGUGACAAGCAGGAGGAAGGUGGGGAUGACGUCAAGUCAGUAUGGUCCUUAUGCCCAGGGCUGCACACGUGCUACAAUGGGCGGUACAAAAGGAAGCGAAGCCGCGAGGUGGAGCAAAUCCUCAAAGCCGUCCUCAGUUCGGAUCGCAGUCUGCAACCCGACUGCGUGAAGCUGGAAUCGCUAGUAAAGGCGUAUCAGCUACGACGCCUUGAAUACGUUCCCGGGCAUUGUACACACCGCCCGUCACAUCAUGAAG